GGAUGAGCCCGCGGCCUAUCAGCUUGUUGGUGGGGUAAUGGCCUACCAAGGCGUCGACGGGUAGCCGGCCUGAGAGGGUGGACGGCCACAUUGGGACUGAGAUACGGCCCAGACUCCUACGGGAGGCAGCAGUGGGGAAUAUUGCACAAUGGGCGCAAGCCUGAUGCAGCAACGCCGCGUGAGGGAUGACGGCCUUCGGGUUGUAAACCUCUUUUAGUAGGGAAGAAGCGAAAGUGACGGUACCUGCAGAAAAAGCACCGGCUAACUACGUGCCAGCAGCCGCGGUAAUACGUAGGGUGCAAGCGUUAUCCGGAAUCAUUGGGCGUAAAGAGCUCGUAGGCGGUUUGUCGCGUCUGCUGUGAAAACCCGAGGCUCAACCUCGGGCCUGCAGUGGGUACGGGCAGACUAGAGUGCGGUAGGGGAGAAUGGAAUUCCUGGUGUAGCGGUGGAAUGCGCAGAUAUCAGGAGGAACACCGAUGGCGAAGGCAGUUCUCUGGGCCGUAACUGACGCUGAGGAGCGAAAGCAUGGGGAGCGAACAGGAUUAGAUACCCUGGUAGUCCAUGCCGUAAACGUUGGGCGCUAGAUGUGGGGACCAUUCCACGGUUUCCGUGUCGCAGCUAACGCAUUAAGCGCCCCGCCUGGGGAGUACGGCCGCAAGGCUAAAACUCAAAGGAAUUGACGGGGGCCCGCACAAGCGGCGGAGCAUGUGGAUUAAUUCGAUGCAACGCGAAGAACCUUACCU
rnacentral:rRNA from 1 species